rnacentral:lncRNA from 1 species
AGGAUGGUGCAGCCAGUGACUUGUGCAUCUCCUUUCCCCUUAGGGGACAAUGGCCAGAUUCUGCUUCCUGCUGUUCGUCUCUGUGGCCACCAGAGGGUGGAGUGCAGCAGUGCUCCAGGCUCCUGAGAUGUUCCAGGUGGGCAAAACCUGUGCCUCCUCCCUUUCUUUCCUGCCUAGAAGCUGCAAGGAACUCAAAGAAAGUUGCAAUAGAGCAGGUGGACUCACUGAGAAAAUAUACCAAAAUGCACACCUUUGUGGAAGUGUCGUUCAACUUAGCUACCUAGACUUGGCCAACAUUUCUUCUCGUGACAGGCCCAGGGAAUUCCAAUCACAGCCGUGAGUUACAUAGUGUCGAUUUUUCUUCAUUGGAAUCAGAUGUGUGACUUUGCACGACCUCCAGCCCCUUUUGCAAAGCAUGUUAGUCUUCUAGCACCCAAAAGUGAUCUUGGUAAUUACAUAAUCUCUGCAAGACUUUCUGGAUAUAUCAUAAUACAUUUGUGAAAGAGAGAGAGAAAAGUGCUAUUUUAAACAACAGUUGAGCAACAAUUAAAGAAUUACUCAAGAAUCAAGCGUAACGUGCUAUGAACGGGGAGGCCUGUGAAUUUUGAAACUGCAGAAUUUGUUCCAAAUUGGAAAGAGAAAACCAGGGAGGCAGCAGAAGUAAAUCCUCUGUCUAUAAAAGUCUACAACCAUAAUCCCAGGAGCCUCACAGAGACAGCCUGACAGCUUUGACUGAGUAACGUAAUAUUUAAUAACUCAAGGUGUAGCUGACAAAGAAGUAAUGAAGACAAAACAGAUUUCACAAGCAGAUAGAAAUUCUUCGUAUAGCACAGUUUGCUAACUAUGAAGGUAGGACUUAAAUCAAGGCAUAAAUAUUACAGAUAAUUAGCUUCUUGGCUCUUUCAAAAGUAAGCUAAAAAUAAAUUUGAGCUUAAACCUACUGAAUGGAAUUUAUGUCAGUUAAAUCUCAGUUAAACUUUAUUUCUAGGGCUUUGUAAUUUUUUAAAAGUUGGCACUAAAAGAU